UACAGAGGUCUCAAGCGUUUGUUCGGAUUCAUUGGGCGUAAAGGGUGUGUAGGUGGCGCGCUAAGUCGGGUGUGAAAUUUCGGAGCUUAACUCCGAAACUGCAUUCGAUACUGGCGUGCUUGAGGACUGGAGAGGAGACUGGAAUUCAUGGUGUAGCAGUGAAAUGCGUAGAGAUCAUGAGGAAGACCAGUGGCGAAGGCGGGUCUCUGGACAGUUCCUGACACUGAGACACGAAGGCCAGGGGAGCAAACGGG
rnacentral:rRNA from 1 species